rnacentral:lncRNA from 7 species
GGAGUCCGCGACCCUCCUUCCCGACUCAUCUACGUGGGGGAUAACUAUCCUCCUGGCAUCUCGGGCGCAGCACGUUCCUCCAUUCCCCGGCCAUCUCCGUGAACCGAGAAAGAGAGAGAGGGCUGAGAGCCGCCUCGGUCGGUGUCGGGCAAAGUCAUGACGCCAACCGCGUGAAGAAGCUGAGGGAGGUCCUCAAGUGGUGUUGGUCCCGUACGGUGCAUUGCCUUGCAUCGGGGUGGUCGGAGCGCGGGGAAUUGCACACCGUAGUUGAUCUCGCCUCCGCGCAAUCUAGUCACCGCGGUCGGGCCCAUUCGCUGCACAAUCUCCGAAGAGCAAGUGGAUGAGGAUCCCGGUGUUCAGCAGGUAG